rnacentral:rRNA from 1 species
AGUGAACGCUGGCGGUAGGCCUAACACAUGCAAGUCGAACGGCAGCACAGUAAGAGCUUGCUCUUACGGGUGGCGAGUGGCGGACGGGUGAGGAAUACAUCGGAAUCUACUUUUUCGUGGGGGAUAACGUAGGGAAACUUACGCUAAUACCGCAUACGACCUACGGGUGAAAGCAGGGGAUCUUCGGACCUUGCGCGAUUGAAUGAGCCGAUGUCGGAUUAGCUAGUUGGCGGGGUAAAGGCCCACCAAGGCGACGAUCCGUAGCUGGUCUGAGAGGAUGAUCAGCCACACUGGAACUGGGACACGGUCAAGACUCCGACGGGAGGCAGCAGUGGGGAAUAUUGGACAAUGGGCGCAAGCCUGAGCCAGCCAUACCGCGUGGGUGAAGAAGGCCUUCGGGUUGUAAAGCCCUUUUGUUGGGAAAGAAAAGCAGCAGGUUAAUACCCCGCUGUUCUGACGGUACCCAAAGAAUAAGCACCGGCUAACUUCGUG